AGAGUUUGAUCCUGGCUCAGGAUGAACGCUGGCGGCGUGCAUCAUACAUGCAAGUCGAGCGGGAAUUAGGACUUCGGUCUUAAGGAAAGCGGCGGACGGGCGAGAAAAAUAUAGGGAAUCUGCCCUUAAGAGGGGGACAACAGAGGGAAACUUCUGCUAAUACCGCAUAUGAGUUAUUUUGAGAUAAAUAACUUGAAAGGAGAAAUCCGCUUAAGGAUGAGCCUGUAAUUGAUUAGCUUGUCGGCGGGGUAAGAGCCCACCGAGGCGAUGAUCAAUAGCUGGUUUGAGAGGACAAUCAGCCGCAAUGGGACUGAGACACGGCCCAUACUCCUACGGGAGGCAGCAGUAGGGAAUUUUGCGCAAUGGGGGAAACCCUGACGCAGCAACGCCGCGUGAACGAAGAAGCUUUUAGGAGUGUAAAGUUCUGUCGAUAGGGACGAAAAGAAUGACUGUACCUAUAGAGGAAGCACCGGCUAACUCCGUGCCAGCAGCCGCGGUAAUACGGGGGGUGCAAGCGUUGUCCGGAAUUAUUGGGCGUAAAGCGUUCGCAGGCGGUACAUUAAGUCUGGUGUUAAAGACCGGGGCUCAACUCCGGGCGGGCAUUGGAUACUGGUGAACUAGAAUGCAGCAGAGGUUAAGGGAAUUCCUGGUGUAGCGGUGAAAUGCGUAGAUAUCAGGAGGAACACCUGANGCGAAAGCGCUUAACUGGGCUGAAAUUGACGCUAAGGAACGAAAGCCGGGGGAGCAAAUGNGAUUAGAUACCCCAGUAGUCCCGGCCGUAAACGAUGGAUACUAGGUGUUGCGGGUAUCGACCCCUGCAGUGCCGAAGCAAACGCGAUAAGUAUCCCGCCUGGGGAGUACGCACGCAAGUGUGAAACUCAAAGGAAUUGACGGGGACCCGCACAAGCGGUGGAACAUGUGGUUUAAUUCGAAGCAACGCGAAGAACCUUACCAGGGCUUGACAUCUAACGAAUCCUGAUGAAAGUCGGGAGUGCCCGCAAGGGAAUGUUAAGACAGGUGGUGCAUGGCUGUCGUCAGCUCGUGUCGUGAGAUGUUGGGUUAAGUCCCGCAACGAGCGCAACCCUCGUCAUUAGUUGCUGAUAUCGGCAAGCUGAUAUAGAGCUCUCUAAUGAGACUGCCGGUGAUAAACCGGAGGAAGGCGGGGACGACGUCAAGUCAUCAUGCCCCUUAUGUCCUGGGCUACACACGUGUUACAAUGGAUAGGACAAAGUGAAGCGAAACUGUGAAGUUAAGCAAAACACAAAAACCUGUUCUCAGUUCGGAUUGCACUCUGAAACCCGGGUGCAUGAAGCCGGAAUCGCUAGUAAACGCAGAUCAGCACGCUGCGUUGAAUACGUUCCCGGGUCUUGUACACACCGCCCGUCACACCAUGGAAGCCGAUCACGCCCGAAACGCUUGAGCUAACUGAAAAGAGGCAGAGUUCUAAGGCAGGGUUGGUGACUGGGGUGAAGUCGUAACAAGGUAGCC
rnacentral:rRNA from 1 species